UACGGAGGGUGCAAACGUUGCUCGGAAUCAUUGGGCGUAAAGCGCACGUAGGCGGCUAGAUAAGUCGGGUGUGAAAGCCCUGGGCUCAACCCAGGAAGUGCAUUCGAAACUGUCUAGCUUGAAUCUCGGAGGGGGCCAGAGAAUUCCCGGUGUAGAGGUGAAAUUCGUAGAUAUCGGGAGGAAUACCAGUGGCGAAGGCGCUGACCUGGACGAAGAUUGACGCUGAGGUGCGAAAGCGCGGGGAGCAAACAGG
rnacentral:rRNA from 1 species